rnacentral:rRNA from 1 species
CACGUAGGGUGCGAGCGUUGUCCGGAAUUAUUGGGCGUAAAGAGCUCGUAGGCGGUGUGUCGCGUCGGCCGUGAAAACCUGCAGCUUAACUGUGGGCUUGCGGUCGAUACGGGCAUCACUGGAGUUCGGCAGGGGAGACUGGAAUUCCUGGUGUAGCGGUGAAAUGCGCAGAUAUCAGGAGGAACACCGGUGGCGAAGGCGGGUCUCUAGGCCGAUACUAACGCUGAGGAGCGAAAGCGUGGGGAGCGAACAGG